rnacentral:sRNA from 1 species
UACAAGGGAAUACCUAUCCUGCGGGGAA